rnacentral:rRNA from 1 species
AGUGAACGCUGGCGGUAUGCCUAACACGUGCAAGUCGAACGGCAGCACAGUAAGAGCUUGCUCUUACGGGUGGCGAGUGGCGGACGGGUGAGGAAUACAUCGGAAUCUACUUUUUCGUGGGGGAUAACGUAGGGAAACUUACGCUAAUACCGCAUACGACCUACGGGUGAAAGCAGGGGAUCUUCGGACCUUGCGCGAUUGAAUGAGCCGAUGUCGGAUUAGCUAAUUGGCGGGGUAAAGGCCCACCAAGGCGACGAUCCGUAGCUGGUCUGAGAGGAUGAUCAGCCACACUGGAACUGAGACACGGUCCAGACUCCUACGGGAGGCAGCAGUGGGGAAUAUUGGACAAUGGGCGCAAGCCUGAUCCAGCAAUACCGCGUGGGUGAAGAAGGCCUUCGGGUUGUAAAGCCCUUUUGUUGGGAAAGAAAAGCAGCAGGUUAAUACCCCGAUGUUCUGACGGUACCUAAAGAAUAAGCACCGGCUAACUUCGUG